CAACAUAGUGAUCCCAUAAUGGUUCCGUUUUUCCUUUUGAGGUACGGAACCCUAAAAAUCGGUAGUACUGAAUUUUUACUUUAAAUCAAGGCUAUUUAGGUCCAUUUUGCUUUGACGUCAGGGUGUUACGACGCUCGAAUUCAACAAAGUUGCUUUUAUAGACUGUUCUACGAAUUACCAUAAACCCUAUGCACAGAGAAAAGUUAACAUAGGGCUCUCUCUGUUACGUAAUCCCAUUCAAAUGACAAGGACAACAAUUUGUGUGCGUUCACCAUU